AGAGUUUGAUUAUGGCUCAGGAUGAACGCUAGCUACAGGCUUAACACAUGCAAGUCGAGGGGCAGCAUUGGAGUAGCAAUACUUCAGAUGGCGACCGGCGCACGGGUGAGUAACACGUAUCCAACCUGCCGCUUACUCGGGGAUAGCCUUUCGAAAGAAAGAUUAAUACCCGAUGGUAUAAAGAGUUCGCAUGUUCUCUUUAUUAAAGAAUUUCGGUAAGCGAUGGGGAUGCGUUCCAUUAGAUUGUUGGCGGGGUAACGGCCCACCAAGUCUACGAUGGAUAGGGGUUCUGAGAGGAAGGUCCCCCACAUUGGAACUGAGACACGGUCCAAACUCCUACGGGAGGCAGCAGUGAGGAAUAUUGGUCAAUGGACGAGAGUCUGAACCAGCCAAAGUAGCGUGAAGGAUGACUGCCCUAUGGGUUGUAAACUUCUUUUAUAAGGGAAUAAAGUGAGGGACGUGUCCCUUUUUGUAUAUACCUUAUGAAUAAGGAUCGGCUAACUCCGUGCCAGCCGCCGC
rnacentral:rRNA from 1 species